rnacentral:rRNA from 1 species
GAUGAACGCUGGCGGCGUGCUUAACACAUGCAAGUCGAACGAAGCGCUUGAGAUUGAUUCUUCGGAUGAUUUCUCUUGUGACUUAGUGGCGGACGGGUGAGUAACGCGUGGGUAACCUGCCUCACACAGGGGGAUAACAGUUGGAAACGACCGCUAAUACCGCAUAACCCGCUAGGGCCGCAUGGCCCGGACGGAAAAGAUUUAUCGGUGUGAGAUGGACCCGCGUUGGAUUAGCUAGUUGGCCGGGUAAUGGCCUACCAAGGCGACGAUCCAUAGCCGGCCUGAGAGGGUGAACGGCCACAUUGGGACUGAGACACGGCCCAAACUCCUACGGGAGGCAGCAGUGGGGAAUAUUGCACAAUGGGGGAAACCCUGAUGCAGCGACGCCGCGUGAGUGAAGAAGUAUUUCGGUAUGUAAAGCUCUAUCAGCAGGGAAGAAAAUGACGGUACCUGACUAAGAAGCCCCGGCUAACUACGUGCCAGCAGCCGCCGUAAUAC